AAACAAAAAGAGCAAGCAUCAAGACCACCCAUCAGCUGAAAAACAUCCUGGAUCACAAUCUCUACAACCUGGGCUAUUUGUAUCUGACAAUCAUAUCUAUGAACCUCUAUAUAUAUGAAAAUUAUUCUUUGCUACUGGGGUAAGAUGAUGUGGUGCUCUAACUUGGUUAUCAUUGAUUGAAUCAAUGGGAUCCAUUACCUUUUUUGUCUCCUACUAAGAAACAAUUGAACACUUAUCUUUAAAUGAAAGGUAUAGGGCAAUACUCCUAAACCACCAAAAAGUUGUUCAAAGUUCGCAAUAGUCCUUACUUCAAGAUUGAGAUAUAAUGAAUAUCACUUUUUGAGUAAAUAGAAGAAUGGAAUUUGUAUUUGCUAGUCACAGCCUUGAUGUCUGGAAGAGUUGGACAUUUGAAGGUUCUUUGGAGGAAUGUAGAUUGGUCAAUUGUAGAAAUCCCUUAAAAGGCGGCUCUGGCUUCGUUGGCAAUUUUGUGGUUACAAUGGAGCGAGCUGAAUAGAAGAUCUUUUGAUGGUGUAACGAUUUGUUUUUACAAUUAAGAGUUUUAUUUUUGGUCCUCAUAUAGUUAGUUGGUUAUCAGGGGUGGUUAAUUUGUCCUUAAACCAGUUUUUGGAUUUUGUAGAGCCUUUCAAUAGGUUUUUGAUGUACGGAGAAUAUGUCUUUCAGUUAUAUAUGGAUCAUGUCGAAAUUCUAGCAGCUGUAGGUGAAGAUGAUGGAAUUACUAUUAAGUUGUGUGAACAUUUGAUAGUCAAGCAGAGCAUAAAAUGUGUACCUACCUACCUGUCUCCUUCACCCUCAAGGUUUAUGAUAUUUCAAGAGAGAAUGUAAUUUGUAAAGCAUUCAAUUUUAUGCACUAAGAUGAGGGUUUGUAUGUGUUUUA